rnacentral:rRNA from 1 species
GAUGAACGCUGGCGGCGUGCUUAACACAUGCAAGUCGAACGGUGAAGGCGGAGCUUGCUCUGCUGGAUCAGUGGCGAACGGGUGAGUAACACGUGAGCAAUCUGCCCCUGACUCUGGGAUAAGCGCUGGAAACGGCGUCUAAUACUGGAUACGAGCUGCGAAGGCAUCUUCAGCAGCUGGAAAGAACUUCGGUCAGGGAUGAGCUCGCGGCCUAUCAGCUUGUUGGUGAGGUAGCGGCUCACCAAGGCGUUGACGGGUAGCCGGCCUGAGAGGGUGACCGGCCACACUGGGACUGAGACACGGCCCAGACUCCUACGGGAGGCAGCAGUGGGGAAUAUUGCACAAUGGGCGAAAGCCUGAUGCAGCAACGCCGCGUGAGGGAUGACGGCCUUCGGGUUGUAAACCUCUUUUAGCAGGGAAGAAGCGAAAGUGACGGUACCGGCAGAAAAAGCGCCGGCUAACUACGUG